UCUCCGCCCCUCUUUCCUCGGGCGUCCAGCAUCCGCCCAUUCCUCCUCCCUGGUCGCCACGUCCUUGGCUGGCGUGAGAAAAAUGGCUACAAACUUCCUAGUACAUGAGAAGAUCUGGUUCAACAAGUUCAAAUAUGACGAUGCAGAAAGGAGAUUCUAUGAGCAGAUGAAUGGGCCUGUGGCUGGUGCUUCCCACUAGGAGAACAGCGCCAGCGUGAUCCUCCGUGACAUUGCCAGAGCCAGAGAGAACAUCCAGAAAUCCCUGGCCAGAAGCUCAGGCCCCGGGGCCUCCAGCGGCACCACUGGAGACCACAGCUAGCUCGUAGUCCGGAUCGCCAGUCUGGAAGUGGAGAACCAGAGCCUGCGUGGCACGGUACAGGAGCUGCAGCAGGCUCUCUCCAAGCUGGAGGCCCGGCUGAAUGUGCUAGAGAAGAGCUCACUCGGCCACUGGGCCACAGCCCCACAGACCCAGCACGUGUCUCCCAUGCACCAAGUGGAGCCCCCAACCAAGAAGCCAGCCACACCAGCAGAGGAUGACGAGGACGAUAUCAUUGACCUGUUUGGCAGCAACAAUGAGGAGGACAAGGAGGCAGCCCAGCUGCGGGAGGAGCAGCUGCGGCAGUAAGCAGAGAAGGCCAAGAAGCCCGCGCUGGUGGCCAACUCCUCCAUCCUGCUGGACGUCAAGCCUUGGGAUGAUGAGAUGGCCAUGGUCCAGCUGGAGUCCUGUGUGUGCUCCAUCCAGCUGGACGGGCUGGUCUGGGGGGCCUCCAAGCUGGUGCCUAUGGGCUACGGUAUCCAGAAGCUGCAGAUUCAGUGUGUGGUGGAGGAUGACAAGGUGGGGACGGACUUGCUGGAGGAGGAUAUCACCAAGAGUGAGGAGCACGUGCAGAGUGUCGACAUUGCAGCUUUCAACAAGAUCUGAAGCCUGAGUGUGUGCCUGUGCGUGUGUGAGGCCCUGCCUGCCAUGAUUAAAAACUGAGACUGGCAAAAAAAAAAAAAAAA